UGAGGAGAAUAGAUCCAGGGUGUAUCCCAAGUCAUUGCUCUCUUUCAGCCUAGCUGUGCGAUUUAAGUUUCAAACAGACAUGUUUACAAAGGAAGGCAAUCUUCCUGCAGGACUUGGCAGAGAUGGGAUGGGGGAGGGGCUGUGUAAUCUUCUGGCCAUUCCCUUGGGAAACCAGGUUGCCAUGGUUAAGCUCAAGGCCACAGGAGGUGAUGAUUUAGGGCCUGAAAUGAUUUGGGUCCUGGUGCUGACUUCGGUGUCAAGUGCCAUUUGCUCUUAAAGAGGCGUUCUGCUGUCUCUGGUCCUCAGGUGUGUCAUCUGUCAAAGGGGCUUCCAGGGACAGCACCAGAAAUGGAGUGUAUCAGAGUGUCCAGGAAGCCUUUCAGUAUCCCGGUGAAGGAGAAGCCACCAGAAGAAAGAAGACUCGAGCCUCCAGCUGGAGGAUAGAAAGCCUGGGGCCAGUUCUGUGAUAUGAACUACACGGGAACAAAUCACAUUACCUCCAUCUGAAUACCUUUCCUCAUGGCUUAUUUUGACAUGCAGGAAAUGAAUUGCCAUCGGCUCCCCAAACCAGCUGCUUCCAGUCAGUGCCUGUGGAUCAUGAUCAAAUGGAGAUAGCCAUCUGGUCCAGGAUUAAAAAAAUAAAAAAACAAAAAAACAAAUUAAGCAAUAAACGAAUUAGACAAAAUCAACCAUCGGAUCCUUGUAACUGUUGAAGGAAAAGUGGAGCCGUGACCUUGUGGAAUGGUCCAGCUCUAAGCACAGGCUGUGAACGCAGCUGAAGCCCAGCCAUCACCUCCAAACUGAGGCCCAAAAGGACCCAGCAGAUUCUA